rfam:Oceanicaulis alexandrii HTCC2633 scf_1099451005985 genomic scaffold, whole genome shotgun sequence.
GUCAGUUCCAAGGGGUGUCCCGUGCGGUGGUCGUACGGGGCUGAGACGUCACCCUCAGGACCGGAUCCGGGUCAUGCCGGCGGCGGGAUGGAGCAGCGCGAUGAC